ACACCUGAAACAUUGUGUUUUUUUAUUCUCUUUUCAGCAUGGAAUAAACCUAUUGUUAAUUUGAACAUGCCAUGCCUUUAUGUUUUGAUGUAGAGAAUUUUUCAAUGUACAGCUUACAGGUAUUCUUUUGGAAAAAACAAAUCCAAAAUGUUAUGUGGAGGAUCAAGUGUGAAAGGGAAUCUUUGGCACACCUGGAUUUUAGGAGUGGAUCCACGCCUGCUGUUUUGUUUAAACGCUCAGUGAAUUGUUUCAGUACUCUUAUAGACAGGCAGCUGGACUGAACACACAAAACAUUGGUCCACAAAUUCUAUUAAUAUCUUCUGUUCCAGAGCAUAACGUAUUUCUCUCCUUCUUGUUUCACUCUUUUCUUCUUCAGUUAAUUAUUUAUUUAGCAGUAGAGGCUGGGGGCUGCAUUUUUGUUUAAGAUUAAUGGCAGCCUGGUUCUGUAGUUACCUGCCAGAAGAAUGAACUCCUUCUCAUUGUCUGAGAGAUCCUCUCUGAUCCCCCCCUCUCCCAGCUCCUCGCUUCUCUCCAUCAAUCUCUCUCUCCAUCUCGCUCUCCUACCCCAAAGCAUUCUCUUCCCUGUGCAGGGACAUUCACUCUUUCCUCCCCAAACCAGAAUGAUGUUGGUUUCUUGCUCUAAAAAAAUUAGCCUUGUCUUCCAUUGUUCUCUAGCCUUCAGGUGCUACAAUAUAGAACAGGAAAGGGCAUUUUUUGUACAUCCAAGGACAAAAUUGGACAUGAUUUCUUUUAAUGGGAUAUAACAGAUUGAUCAAAACGAUUUUGUUAUCUCACUACUGCAUUCAGAUAGGAGGAAUUCAGACAGCACGGGGCUUGUGUGAUAUCUGCGGAGCAAAGAGCAUUACUGUGUGACUUACCUGGUGGUCUCUCACUGCGUGAAUGACAACUGGAGCCAGACCUCGUGAACAGCCCCAGUUCAGACACAGGUUCAAUUUUAGGUCACCACAAAAGUCUGGCCUGGGACACUUUUCCUAAAAAGGACAGAAGAAAUGUUGCAAACUAGAGGAGGCCAUUUGGCCCAAGGAGCUUGUUUGGUUGCUGAUAGCUAAUCCGAGGUCUGAGAAUCUCGUCCAGCCCUUACUUGAAAGAAGACAGGGAAUGAUCUUCAACAACAUGACAGAGUAGCUUGUUCCACACUCCCCCUUGCAUAGACAUGUCCUGUUCUCAGUUUAAAUGAGACUUUCCUGUUCUUUCCACUUGGAUUCUUUAGUUCCUAUUCCACUGUGGCCAUUCCUUCUUCUGAAGGAAAUGUCCAUUUGGCAGGAUACCUUUGAGGAUCUUCAAUUCUUGAGUCAAGGCCCUUCCUCAUCCUAUCUGUUCAAGACCAAAAAUAUGAGUGUUUUUAGCUGGGAUACCUUUAAUCCCAGGUGUGUUUGUGGUUGCUCUUCUUUGGACAGAGCACCAAUAUCUGAAUUAGUAAAAUAAUUCAAGAUGCCAGCAGGUAAGCCACAUUGUAAAUAUCGUUUCCCUAGAGUGAUCAGUUAAAAUACUGUGACUGCCCGUGUGCGAUUAAAAUGUGUUUAUUUCUUAAACUGUGCAUAUAAUGAUGAAUAUAGAAUGGAAGUGAAGAAAAUGUAAUAUUACCUGGUUAUUAUUUCCAGGCCUGAUGAUUUCUUUGAAGCUGUCGCUAUUGUAUUUGUUGCACCUGAGAUGAAGCUGAACUUUGAAGAAGCACAAAGGGCUGUAAGUGCGAAAAAUGUCUUAUUGAUCCAAGGAAAUUAAAGAGCCACUAAUUAUGUGGGUUUCCGCUGAGGAUAUCAAGGGGUAAGUGUCUUGCAAGCUGUGCUGGUCUCAGAACAUACAGCAUAUCUAGAGGACAGACCGCUGCAGACUAAGAGGCGUAGAGCUAUGAAAUAGUGAUAAACACAGCUCAGGUCUGGGAGAAGGCAGGAAUGGAGGGGAAAUUCAUUUCAGCAGCCAAUCUAGAAGCCUGGAAGCUCUAAAGCAUGAGGUCACUUUCUUGAUAUGCUUUGGCAGAGGAAUAGACAGGCUGACACCUGGUGAAAUGGGGUAAAACAUGAGGUUAUGUGAACCUGAAGGAGAACAGCAGGUAUGAGAAUGUCUUGCUGACUGACUGAAAUACUGGAUCGAGAACCAGAAACAGGUGCUGAUGGGAAAUUCGAUCACAGACAUGUGACGGACAUGGUUUGGAACCACUGCUGAACUGGAAUGCCUAUUUGGGAAAAUCUGGGUACUUGUGAAACAAAAGUAUAAAAAUACACUACGAUGCUACACAGAUAUCUUGUAAUACAUAUGAUAUAAUGCCAAAGUUAAACUUUAUUUUUGUGCUGGAUACUUCCAAAUGUCCAGAGGAAACUAGAAAUGCAUUCUUACUCUGUGGUUUUGUGACCUAAUUAAGCAGCGAGGAAGCCUACUGGCCUAUGUAUGACAUCUCUGGCAUCCUCUAGUCACAAAAGGCCAUGGGUUUACACUGACCAAUAAGUUGACAGUCUAUAUUGUGACCCUGUUCCUUUCUGCGAGCUGUUUUGUCCUCUUUGAAAUGGAAUGAUUUUCCCUCGUCAUCCUAUGAGCUCAGGCCUCAACUGCGUGCUGCAGUCCUGUGUAAGUUAUUCCCAGCUGUCCACAUCAAUAUCUUGUGCUUUGAUGUCAUUUUGCACACAUCUUUAAAUUGGAGAUGGGGGAAUCCUACUGGCUUUAUAUCAAAGGCCAGCUCUCUGAAGAGGGUGUCUUCUGGGACAUGUCACACAUGCAAGGUGUUGUUCCUUACGUAAUGUGUGCCUAAAGGGGCUUUGAGCAAGGCCAAGGACUAGGUUCUGUGUCUUUCCAGAAAUUUCCAAGAAUGCAUCAUACACAGCAUGGUCUCGAUCUCUUCUCGUGGUAUCAGUAUGAUGCCCAAGAGUCGUCACUGCAGAGCAAUGUGCAGAUGGUCAUUUCAUUGUCAUGGUUAUCUAUCUUGAGGGGUUUCCAGGAAUAUUUCCGCUCUUUGUCCUUAUCCUUUUUAGGGUGACGAUGAGACUGAAAUCCUGACAAGCCUGUGAAGAUCUUUACACGAGACUUUAGAGAUGCGGUUCUGCACAGCUUUUCACUGCUACCGCACCAGCAAGGAGGGGUUGUAUAAGCUGUUAUACAUUAGUUUUUCCUUCCUGUCUUUUGAGUCAUCUCUGGAAGGGCUGUGCUCAUUCCUUGCACGGGUUGGUAUGUUGCACCAUGAGGGCAGCCUUCGGCCCAACCUUAGCUUACCUGAUCUCUGCCCUCUCCCAGCUGCCACUUUCCCAGCCUGCCUGCCAGGGCUGAGCAGGCUUGCUGAAGUGUGGGCAGUCGUCCAAGACAAGCAGGCUGAUGUCGUUGAUCAGGCCAGACGCUCCUGUGGUCCUCCUGCCCCCUGCUCCUGCUGCGCGCCGACUCGUUCCAUCGCUCUGUCCUUCGGCCGCGCCGAGGUCGAGCCGCGUGGUGCCGGCUCCGCGCUCUUCUGCGGGGCUGUGGCCAGGCUGCCGUGACAGCGAUCACAGAGCCGCAGAUUCGUCUGCGCACUUCCUGAGGAGGGGAGGGCUGAGCAGGAUGGCACACGACACAGCCAGUGCAGAAAGGCCAGAACGCAGGUUAAACUGUGUAGUGAGCGAUCAUGGCCAGGUUUCUGGGGGCAGAAAAUGGGGGCAUUUUCAAAUCCAUGACUUGGAGGCCAGGAAGAAGGAAAUGCCGUGUGGGGAUGAGGCAGCACUUGAACAGCGGUCUGGCCAUUUUGAUCUUGCUACAUGGUGUCAGCAGGUGAUCGAAGUGGGUACAGUAAGCAGCAGGGCAGGGUGAAAGAAACAAGCUGACGGUUUUGUCAGGGGCAAGUAGGAUCUUAAAACUCUUCUACACUCAGUCUCUCUGCAAACUUGGCAACACUAGAUUUCAAGAAACCACCAAACCUCUAGAUCUUGCAAGAUAGCAUAAAAGCCUUUGGGACUAUCACACCACUCACCACAGUGUGUAAGGCUGUUUAUCACCUUGUGCUUGUUGACUACAGGGGCUGUGGAGUUCAUAUGCAGAUGUGCUAUUGUACAGUCGCAAUGCUUUACUGCAGUUGCUACCUUUCUUAAACUUUCCCCAUCUUAUUUUUGCUCUGUAGCCCUUCUGAAUCCAGUGCUCUGACCUCGGAAAAACCUAAAUCCUGCCAGGGGAGGCAAAAGGCAGAAUAGCAAGACGCACGAAUGCACAAAUAAAAGGUUUUGCAAUUCCCUUGACUCCCAGGCCAGUCAGGAAACACAGCAUCUGCUCCAGUAGAGAGCCAUGUGGCGCAGAACCAGUUAAAAAAAACAAAUGUUGUUUAUCAUGUGAAAGCCGAGCUCCUAUCAAAGUCAAACAGUCGCUGCCUCCAUUGUAAUGUGUUCAAUGUCGAUCCCAAGGACACUCUCACUACCUCGGAUAAAGGCGGCGUUAAGAGAUCUGGGACACUUUCACAGUUAACCUUGAUGGUGCUGGAGUGGGCUGAAAGCGAAAAGCACUGUUAUUUAGCCAUAAGAAUAUGUGACAAUUGUGCCUGUAUUCAUUCAGCACCUUUUUGAGAAGUGCAGCGCUGAAGCAGCUGUUUCUGCAGGAGAGCGCUGGGUACCACCAUGUCAAAAUAAUCAGU